AGAAUCAACGCUGGCGGCGUGCCUAACACAUGCAAGUCGAACGAGAAAGUGGAGCAAUCCAUGAGUAAAGUGGCGCACGGGUGAGUAACACGUGACUAACCUACCCUUGAGUGGGGGAUAACCUAGGGAAACCUGGGCUAAUACCGCAUAAUACCUUCGGGUCAAAGGAGCAAUUCGCUUAAGGAGGGGGUCGCGGCCGAUUAGUUAGUUGGCGGGGUAAUGGCCCACCAAGACUGUGAUCGGUAUCCGGCCUGAGAGGGCGCACGGACACACUGGAACUGAAACACGGUCCAGACUCCUACGGGAGGCAGCAGUGGGGAAUUUUGCGCAAUGGGGGAACCCUGACGCAGCAACGCCGCGUGGAGGAUGAAGCCCCUUGGGGCGUAAACUCCUUUCGAUCGGGACGAUAAUGACGGUACCGGAAGAAGAAGCCCCGGCUAACUUCGUGCCAGCAGCCGC
rnacentral:rRNA from 1 species